rnacentral:rRNA from 1 species
ACGGAAGGCAGCAGUGGGGAAUAUUGGACAAUGGGGGAAACCCUGAUCCAGCGACGCCGCGUGAGUGAAGAAGUAUUUCGGUAUGUAAAGCUCUAUCAGCAAGGAAGAAAAUGACGGUACUUGACUAAGAAGCUCCGGCUAAAUACGUGCCAGCAGCCGCGGUAAUACGUAUGGAGCAAGCGUUAUCCGGAUUUACUGGGUGUGAAGGGAGCGUAGACGGCAAAGCAAGUCUGAAGUGAAAUCCCGGGGCCCAACCCCGGAACUGCUUUGGAAACUGUUUAGCUAGAGUGCAGGAGAGGUAAGCGGAAUUCCUAGUGUAGCGGUGAAAUGCGUAGAUAUUAGGAGGAACACCAGUGGCGAAGGCGGCUUACUGGACUGUAACUGACGUUGAGGCUCGAAAGCGUGGGGAGCAAACAGGAUUAGAUACCCUGGUA